rnacentral:rRNA from 1 species
GUACAUGCCGUAAACGUUGGGCACUAGGUGUGGGGGACAUUCCACGUUUUCCGCGCCGUAGCUAACGCAUUAAGUGCCCCGCCUGGGGAGUACGGCCGCAAGGCUAAAACUCAAAGGAAUUGACGGGGGCCCGCACAAGCGGCGGAGCAUGCGGAUUAAUUCGAUGCAACGCGAAGAACCUUACCAAGGCUUGACAUGGACCAGACCGGACUGGAGACAGUUCUUCCCCUUUGGGGUUGGUUCACAGGUGGUGCAUGGUUGUCGU